rnacentral:lncRNA from 1 species
AAAAAAAUACAAUAUAAGCAUAUAUAAUUGCAAAUCAUUCACAUUUAUAAUUACGUAAUUUUGUUCCGUAUUUGACCUUUACUUUUACAUCCUCAUUAUUGGAUACAAUCUACCUGACACAUAUUGCUCGUUUAGAAAAAUCGUGCAUGUGUCUUAGUGUGAUCAAAUAAUCGUAACCUGACAUGAUUGAAGGAUAAUAUAGUUCAUGUGUUAAUCUUUUCGCUUUUGGAUUAUUAUCAAAAGGUAAGAUAUUAUAUGUUUAUUAUUAUCGAAAUAUG